rnacentral:rRNA from 1 species
GACGUAGGAUGCAAGCGUUGUUCGGAUUUAUUGGGCGUAAAGCGUACGUAGGCGGUGCGACAAGUCUGAUGUUAAAGCUAGGAGCUCAACUCCUGUGAUGCAUUGGAAACUGUCGGGCUAGAGUGCGGUAGGGGAAGGUGGAAUUCCGAGUGUAGCGGUGAAAUGCGUAGAUAUUCGGAAGAACACCGGUGGCGAAAGCGACCUUCUGGGCCGUAACUGACGCUGAGGUACGAAAGCGUGGGGAGCAAACAGG